UCCGUCUUGAAACACGGACCAAGGAGUGCAAGAGGCGCGCCAGUCCCGAGGGCGAGGCCCGGUCGCUCCGGCGGCCGGGCCCUUGUUGCAAGCCCGGAGAGGAGGCGCAGUGAAAGCAAGUGUCGGCCCCGAGCCGACGGGCGCGAGAACCCCCUUGCCGGGGUGCAUCGCGGACCGAGUCGCGGUCACGCAGUGGCCGGCUUCGAGUGGGAGCGCGUCUGUUGCGACCCGAAAGAUGGUGAACUAUGCCCGAGAAGGGCGAAGCCAGAGGAAACUCUGGUGGAGGCCCGCAGCGGUUCUGACGUGCAAAUCGAUCGUGCGACUUGGGUAUAGGGGCGAAAGACUAAUCGAACCGUCUAGUAGCUGGUUCCCUCCGAAGUUUCCCUCAGGAUAGCUGGAGCCCGUAACGCAGCGGUUUCGUCGGGUAAAGCGAAUGAUUAGAGGUAUCGGGGCCGAAAUGGCCUCGACCUAUUCUCAAACUUUGAAUCGGCGAGUCCCUCCGAGUCCGCCUUUCCCGACGGAAGGCGGGUCGGGUCCGGAACGCGGUGGCUCUAGGUGGGCCGUUUUUGGUAAGCAGAACCGGCGAUGCGGGAUGAACCGAAAGUCGGGAUAAGGCGCCGGAGUCGACGCUGACCAGACACCACAAAAGGUGUUGGUUGAUCCAGACAGCAG
rnacentral:rRNA from 1 species